rnacentral:rRNA from 1 species
UACGGGGGGAGCAAGCGUUGUUCGGAUUUACUGGGCGUAAAGGGCGCGUAGGCGGUCAGCACAAGUCAGUUGUGAAAUCUCCGGGCUUAACUCGGAAAGGUCAACUGAUACUGUGCGACUAGAGUGCAGAAGGGGCAACUGGAAUUCUCGGUGUAGCGGUGAAAUGCGUAGAUAUCUGGAGGAACACCGGUGGCGAAGGCGGCAUCCUGGACCAAUACUGACACUGAAAAGCGAAAGCCAGGGGAGCAAACGGG